rnacentral:rRNA from 1 species
UAGGGAAUCUUCCACAAUGGACGCAAGUCUGAUGGAGCAACGCCGCGUGAGUGAAGAAGGGUUUCGGCUCGUAAAGCUCUGUUGUUAAAGAAGAACGUGGGUAAGAGUAACUGUUUACCCAGUGACGGUUAUUUUAACCAGAAAGCCACGGCUAACUACGUGCCAG